GCACAAAUGAAAUACCACCACUCGGAACGUUGCUUCACUUAUCGAAUGAAGAGACCAAUGGUUUGCGGGAUU
rnacentral:rRNA from 1 species